rnacentral:rRNA from 1 species
AACGAACGCUGGCGGCAUGCCUAACACAUGCAAGUCGAACGAGACCUUCGGGUCCAUUGUCGCACGGGUUCGUAACGCGUCGGAACCUGCCCUUAGGUUCGGAAUAACUCUCCGAAAGGGGUGAUAAUACCGGAUAAUGUCUUCUGACCAAUGAUUUAUCGCCUUUGGAUGGGCCCGCGUUGGAUUAGCUAGUUGGUAGGGUAAAAGCCUCCCAAGGCGACGAUCCAUAGCUGGUCUGAGAGACUGAUCAGCGACACUGGGACUGAGACACGGCCCAGACUCCUACGGGAGGGAGCAGUGGGGAAUGUUGGAAAGUGGGGGGAAGCAUGAACGAGCUAGGCUGCGUGAGUGAUGAAGGCCUUAGGGAUGUAAAGCUCUUUUACCCGGGAUGGUAAUGACAGUACCGGGAGAAUAAGCUCCGGCUAACUACGUG